GUGGGAACGUGGGACCCCUCUUCUCUCCUCCGACCAAAGCAGUGCUGCAGAAGCUGCACCUUCGUGGGCCUCAUCCCCACUGCAGCCCAACCCGGAUGGCAUCGCCAAAUUCCAUCAGUGACAGCAAGGAGGGCGAGGAGGCCUCGCUACGUGGAGGAUUCAGCAUCCUGCUUCUGUCUGGAGAUGAGCUGAGCCUCCUUCAGG
rnacentral:lncRNA from 1 species